GAAAAAUUAUCUAUUGUUUGCUGAAACGUAAACUUAACUGCAUGUAAUGUAUUUUUAUUUCUUACAUCAGGGAAUAUUAUUAUGAAGUUCUAGAUCUGGUGAGGUUCUAGAUCUGGCUUCUAGAUCAACCUCAGAAGCCUCCAGAGAGAGAUCAGUGGACUCUCAAGAGUGUCAAUCUCAGACUGACCAUCACUGGGGCCACAUUCAAGCAGUAGCCCCUUGUCCAGAGCCAUUUCCUCCACUGACCUCAGUUCCUGUAGUGCCUGGACGGUGCCUAAGCCAGACACAGGGUCUUGCUAUGUUGCCCAGCCUGGUCUCAAAUUCCUGGUGUCAGGUGAUCUUCCUGCCUCAGCCUCUCCCAAAGUGUUAGAAUUACAGAGUUACUGAUAAGGAGACAGUCCACUAUGAAGAUUCUCUGAUGGUUCGGAGUGGCUUCCUUUGCUCCUAGGCUCAAUUUAUUGAGAAGGGGGCUGCCUAGGAGCACCUACAACCAGGUACAAA